AGGGACAGACAGGUGUAGAGUCUCAGGUAAGGACCAGGGAGACCAGGAACAGAGAGGUGUAGAGUCUCAGGGAGACCAGGGACAGUCAGGUGUAGAGUCUCAGGGAGACCAGGGACAGUCAGGUGUAGAG